rnacentral:lncRNA from 1 species
CUUUUGGUUGUGCUAGCAGCACACAGAGCAAAGCUAGCCAUGCUUGGAAGAUACCCCCUUGAAGAUUAGGACUGUGAUAGAAGGACAGACAAAUACACAGUCCAUUCUGCUAUUGGAUCAUCUGUCACUGUCUCUCUGCUUUCCUCUCGGUGUUCCUGAUCCAUUCAUUGAUGAAUACCUCAUGGACAUCGUGGAAGAGAUCCAUCCCCUGACAAGUACAAACGCGUUAUUUACACUGGCUCCUGAUACAUCUGAGUACCAGGAGGGGUUGUAACGUUUCUGUGAAAGAUGAAGUCUCAGUGGCCGUACUCUACAGCCACAGGACCGAUUAAAAAAAUACUUCAUAUGCGUUGAACCAGAUGAUAUAAUGCAUUAGACUGGAACUGGCGAUGAAGGUGGAAUCCAAUCGAGAUCAGUUCUUUUUACAUGUUGUUUCUGUUUAAGGGCUUUAAGACACUGCCAAUCAACUCUAAUUGCUCUGAACAGUCUGCAUUAAGUGUGAUUACUCCGUUGAAUUCCCA